CCUACGGGUGGCAGCAGUGAGGAAUAUUGGUCAAUGGGCGGGAGCCUGAACCAGCCAAGUCGCGUGAGGGACGACGGUCCUAUGGAUUGUAAACCUCUUUUGUCGGGGAACAAAGGCGCCCACGGGUGGGCGGAUGAGUGUACCCGAAGAAAAAGCAUCGGCUAACUCCGUGCCAGCAGCCGCGGUAAUACGGAGGAUGCGAGCGUUAUCCGGAUUUAUUGGGUGUAAAGGGAGCGCAGGCGGGAAGCCAAGUCAGCUGUGAAAACUACGGGCUUAACUUGUAGACUGCAGUUGAAACUGGUUUUCUUGAGUGAAGUAGAGGUUGGCGGAAUUCCGAGUGUAGCGGUGAAAUGCGUAGAUAUUCGGAGGAACACCGGUGGCGAAGGCGGCCAACUGGGCUUUAACUGACGCUGAGGCUCGAAAGUGUGGGGAGCAAACAGGAUUAGAUACCCCUGUAGUC
rnacentral:rRNA from 1 species